UGCAGUCGGACGGUAGCACAGAGAGCUUGCUCUUGGGUGACGAGUGGCGGACGGGUGAGUAAUGUCUGGGGAUCUGCCCGAUAGAGGGGGAUAACCACUGGAAACGGUGGCUAAUACCGCAUAACGUCGCAAGACCAAAGAGGGGGACCUUCGGGCCUCUCACUAUCGGAUGAACCCAGAUGGGAUUAGCUAGUAGGCGGGGUAAUGGCCCACCUAGGCGACGAUCCCUAGCUGGUCUGAGAGGAUGACCAGCCACACUGGAACUGAGACACGGUCCAGACUCCUACGGGAGGCAGCAGUGGGGAAUAUUGCACAAUGGGCGCAAGCCUGAUGCAGCCAUGCCGCGUGUAUGAAAAAGGCCUUCGGGUUGUAAAGUACUUUCAGCGGGGAGGAAGGCGACGGGGUUAAUAACCCUGUCGAUUGACGUUACCCGCAGAAGAAGCACCGGCUAACUCCGUGCCAGCAGC
rnacentral:rRNA from 1 species